CCGACCCUGGCCGCAUGCCUUACACAUGCAAGUCGAACGGUAAGGCCCUUCGGGGUACACGAGUGGCGAACGGGUGAGUAACACGUGAGUAACCUGCCCCCGACUUUGGAAUAAGCGCUCGAAAGGGCGUCUAAUACCGAAUAGUUCCUCAGUGGGCAUCCACUGAGGCGAAAAGCUCCGGCGGUUGGGGAUGGACUCGCGUCCUAUCAGCUUGUUGGUGAGGUAACGGCUCACCAAGGCUUCGACGGGUAGCCGGCCUGAGAGGGCGACCGGCCACACUGGGACUGAGAUACGGCCCAGACUCCUACGGGAGGCAGCAGUGGGGAAUAUUGCGCAAUGGGCGAAAGCCUGACGCAGCAAUGCCGCGUGCGGGAUGACGGCCUUCGGGUUGUAAACCGCUUUCAGCCAUGACGAAGCGAAAGUGACGGUAAUGGAAGAAGAAGCACCGGCCAACUACGUGCCAGCAGCCGCGGUGAUACGUAGGGUGCGAGCGUUGUCCGGAAUCAUUGGGCGUAAAGAGCUUGUAGGCGGUUUGUCACGUCGGAAGUGAAAACUCAGGGCUUAACUCUGAGCCUGCUUCCGAUACGGGCUGACUAGAGGAAGGUAGGGGAGAACGGAAUUCCUGGUGGAGCGGUGGAAUGCGCAGAUAUCAGGAGGAACACCGGUGGCGAAGGCGGUUCUCUGGACCUUUCCUGACGCUGAGAAGCGAAAGCGUGGGGAGCAAACAGGAUUAGAUACCCUGGUAGUCCA
rnacentral:rRNA from 1 species